UAUUGUGGGCCACGCGAGCAGAUCGGGAUCGGUGAUUCGUGCCGGAUCCAUCGCCGUGCAACUGCGCGAGCGCGACGAGGUGGUCGCCGUCUUGCCGCCGAUGCUUCCCCCCUGGUAGCAGACUAGCAGUGCCUGGACGACAGCGACGGCGGCCUCCGACCUGCUGCGGCGGACUGCGCGAUGGCUGCGUGACGAGCAGCAGGUGUUAGGUGAUGAUGUAAGAUGAUUGCUAAUUUCUUUUAUCACAAACGAUAAGAGCUUCAUGUGGUUAUCAAGCAGGAGCAUGGAUGCACCUUGUUUAGGACCAAAUAUCAAUUAUGCAUCAAUCAAACUGAAGAAUUACGAAGAAAGCAAAAUGCUGAUCAGUUGUACACACAUUGUUUGCUUUUGGAUUUGCAUUUUAUUUUUUUACCAUUCUUGAGGAAUUAACAAAACGUACUACUUUUUAAUGAUUAUAA